UACAGAGGUCUCAAGCGUUGUUCGGAUUCAUUGGGCGUAAAGGGUGCGUAGGCGGCGCGGUAAGUCGGGGUGUGAAAUCUCGGGGCUUAACUCCGAAACUGCAUUCGAUACUGCCGUGCUUGAGGACUGGAGAGGAGACUGGAAUUUACGGUGUAGCGGUGAAAUGCGUAGAUAUCGUAAGGAAGACCAGUGGCGAAGGCGGGUCUCUGGGCCGAUACUGACGCUGAGGUGCGAAAGCGUGGGGAGCAAACAGG
rnacentral:rRNA from 1 species